GGGCGUCUGGUGUAGUUGGUUAUCACACUCGCUUAGCAUGUGAGAGGUCCCCGGUUCAAUUCCGGUGUCGUCCA
rnacentral:tRNA from 1 species